rnacentral:rRNA from 1 species
GACGUAGGGCGCGAGCGUUGUCCGGAUUUAUUGGGCGUAAAGAGCUCGUAGGCGGCUUGUUGCGUCGGCUGUGAAAACCCGCAGCUUAACUGUGGCUUGCAGCCGAUACGGGCAGGCUUGAGUUCGGGUAGGGGAGACUGGAACUUCCGGUGGAGCGGUGAAAUGCGUUGAGAUCGGAAGGAACGCCCGUGGCGAAAGCGAGUCCCUGGACGUCGGCUGACGCCUGAGACGGCGAAAGCCAGGGGAGCGAACGGG